rnacentral:rRNA from 1 species
UUUAAAGUCUAGCCUGCCCAAUGAGGAGUUGAAUGGCCGCGGUAUUUUGACCGUGCAAAGGUAGCAUAAUCAUUAGUUUUUUAAUUGAAAGCUGGAAUGAAUGGUUGGACGAGAAAAUAGCUGUCUCAAUUUAAUUUAAUUAGAAUUUUAUUUAUAAGUUAAAAAGCUUAUAUAAUUUUAAAAGACGAGAAGACCCUAUAGAGUUUUAUAUUUAUUAAUGUUUAAUAUUUUUAGAAUGUUUUAAUUUUAUAUGUUAAUAAAUAUUUUAUUGGGGCGAUAGAAAAAUUAAAUAAACUUUUUUUAUAUUAUUACAUUGAUUUAUGGUUAUAUGAUCCGAUUUUUUUGAUUAUAAGAUUAAAUUACCUUAGGGAUAACAGCGUAAUUUUUUUUUAGAGUUCAUAUCGAAAAAAAAGUUUGCGACCUCGAUGUUGGAUUAAAAUUAACUUUUGGUGCAGAAGCUAAAAGGUUAGGUCUGUUCGACCUUUAAAAUUUUACAUGAUCUGAGUUUAAACCGGCGUGAGCCAGGUUGGUUUCUAUCUUUAAAUAAAUUAAAUAUUUUAGUACGAAAGGAUCAAGUAUUUAUAAUAAUUAUUAUAUAUUGAAUAUUAGUAUU